UGUGUUUCACUACAUUCAAAGCGCUGACAACUGCAAUGAAAAAUGUGCAUCGAAUUUACUUUGUUUUUAACAAAACAUAGAAAAACAUUAACAAAAUAAAGAGAAUGUUGUAUUUAAGGAAGUCAUACGAUGCAAUGCUAUUGUUGAAUUUCAGUAGCAUUACUUGCUUUUAAUUAAGUCAUUAAAUCCAAUUAUUGUUAUAUUAAGUAUUAUACAAAUUACAAUUUCGAUGUUGUUGCUGCAGCUUUCUUAACCUAAAGCAAUUGCCAACUACAUGUCGAACAAUGCACAAUCAUUUGAGGUGAGGACGAAGAGACUGAUGUCGAGGCGGAGGUGGAGGAUUGUACCAAGAUUACACACUUAAUCAAACUUUAUGCAAAACUGCCUUCCACCCUCAAGAUUUUCAACAAUUUGCUGGCAUUGCAUACGCACAGAUAGUGCAAGGACAAGUCAGACGGGGAUGUGAUGAUAAGAGGGUAAUGGGAGAUGGGAAGGACAGUUGGACAGAGGUCUUAAAUGCUGCAAUUUGUUUUGCUGCCCGAAUCGUUGCUGUCUUCACUUCGAGGCUUAACCAAAGAGAAUGAGAGAGAAUCAUGUACCGCCGGCAGCUUCAUUGCCAAAAAUGUUGCAAGAGUUUCGACUGUUGCAACACCAAAAGCAAAAACAACAGCAGCAAUGGCUGCCAGUUCUGCCUGCUGUUUAACAUCCUUGGCUGACUCGCUUGGGCUCCCCGGACAAUUCAGUGCAAAAUUGCUAGACAAAACUGUGGCGCAUAAAGCGGCUGGAAUUGCUACAGCGAUGUUCUCGCACUCGUAUUCGUUAUGCGUGCAACACAGGCUGCCGCAUGCUGCUGCUGUGGCAGCAUCGCAUCGGUUCAAUCGGCUUCAUCAGCGUGAGAUAUUCGUACAGCACACACACACACACACACAUAUACACAGUCACUCACAGACGUAUGUAUGUUGAAUGUGCGUGCCUUGCUUGGGGUUUCAUCGUCGCCAUUGAGAUUGAAAAAUGUUAAAAAAUUGCUUUUAAAUGCCGCAAAAUACAAUUUAUUAUUCAACCGAGGCAAACGCCAAACACUGGGCACAAUGUGUGCCCUGGGAAUGAGCAACUCGGGUUUGUGGGUGGCCGUUACUGUGACUCUGACUGUGACUGUGACUAUGACUGUGGCAAAGGCAUGACAUACACCAUGCUUCUCGUAUAUGUUACCAUUGCAUUGCUUUGGCCAACGCAUAACAGUGCGGCUGCAUGGCAGUAAAUUCAAAUAAAGCACGAGCACACACACUCACACACACACAGAAACUGAAAAAGAAAGGAAGAGAGGAAGAUAUGCACACAAUCACAGUGGCAACAAUUGGAGCUGCAGUUGUUUUGUUUAUUACGUAUACGCAUUGUGCGACGCAUUCAGAAGCAUUUCAGCAUUUUUGGAAGGCUGUGCGCAAGGCUAAGCAGACAGUUGUUGCUUCGUCUGAGCCCUUUUUGCCAUUGCAUUUCAAGCUUUGAGAAAUGACAAAGGCUCUGCACAUAAUUACAAUAAAUGUGUGUUUCCAAAAAUUGUUGGCUUGCUACCAUUGCACAUAGACUCCUGCAACUUAAA